rnacentral:lncRNA from 1 species
AAUUUAAAAGAGUGUACUUAAUGUUCCAUCUUAGACAACAUGAUAGUCAUGAAGAUUUUGCGUGAGAAAGGCUAGAGAGUAUAGUGGGAAAAUCUCAGCUCCCCUUUGAACUCCUGGGCUCAAGUGAUCCUCCCACCAUAAUCUUCCAGGUAGCUGGGACCACAGUAUGCUGAGGUGGCCAAGAGCACAGGUUCAAAUCAAGACCAUGAAUUGAGCCAAGUGCAGUGUGUGCAAAGAGCUUCAAUGUGCCAAGCAUUUUAGAUGCAUUAACUUGAUUCAUCUUCACAAAACCCCUAUGCAUCGUUGAUAUUUUAUUGCCAAUUUCAAGAUUGAAGAACUGAGAAUCAAAGAAUCAGCUCUCUUUUCCAAGGUCACACAGCUAAUAAAGUCAGGAUUUGAACUCAGGCCGGCCUGAUUACAGUGGCACAAUUUGUACUAUUUUGCAAUAUUGAGUGUUUUAGAGUCUUGGGUCAAGUGACCUUUUCCUUUCUAGAGACAAUUAAGUGAAUAAAACAGGAGGUACCUGGACAGGUUUUAUCCAGGGAGCUUUGUCUACAAGAAUUAAAAAUCAAGAAACAAAGCAUGGUAAUAACAAGGGUAAUUAUGGGGACAAAGAG